GACAGAGGUGCCAAGCGUUAGGCGGAAUCACUGGGCUUAAAGCGUGUGUAGGCGGAUGCCUAAGUACCUUGUGAAAUCCCUCGGCUCAACCGGGGAACUGCGUCCGAUACUGGCGGGCUUGAAUUCGGGAGAGGGAUGUGGAAUUCCAGGUGUAGCGGUGAAAUGCGUAGAUAUCAGGAGGAACACCGGUGGCGAAGGCGGGUCUCUGGGCAGUAACUGACGCUGAGGAGCGAAAGCGUGGGGAGCGAACAGG
rnacentral:rRNA from 1 species